UACAGAGGUCCCAAGCGUUGUUCGGAUUCAUUGGGCGUAAAGGGUGCGUAGGUGGCGAUGCAAGUCUGGUGUGAAAUCUUGGGGCUCAACCUCAAAAUUGCACCGGAUACUGCGUUGCUUGAGGAUUGUAGAGGAGAGUGGAAUUCAUGGUGUAGCAGUGAAAUGCGUAGAUAUCAUGAGGAAGACCAGUUGCGAAGGCGACUCUCUGGGCAAUUCCUGACACUGAGGCACGAAGGCCAGGGGGGCGAACGGG
rnacentral:rRNA from 1 species